CAAUAGCGUAUAUUUAAGUUGUUGCAGUUAAAAAGCUCGUAGUUGGAUUUGUGGUGUACUUCGGCGGCCCGUCACUAUGUGAUGGAGCUUGCUGAAGUCGCCAUCCUUGGGUGGAUCCUGUGUGGCAUUAAGUUGUCGUGCAGGGGAUGCCCAUCGUUUACUGUGAAAAAAUUAGAGUGUUCAAAGCAGGCUUAUGCCGUUGAAUAUAUUAGCAUGGAAUAAUAAGAUAGGACCUUGGUACUAUUUUGUUGGUUUGCGCACCAAGGUAAUGAUUAAUAGGGACAGUUGGGGGUAUUCGUAUUUCAUUGUCAGAGGUGAAAUUCUUGGAUUUUUGAAAGACGAACUACUGCGAAAGCAUUUACCAAGGAUGUUUNCAUUA
rnacentral:rRNA from 1 species